rnacentral:rRNA from 1 species
UACGUAGGGGGCAAGCGUUAUCCGGAUUUACUGGGUAUAAAGGGAGCGUAGACGGCGAUGCAAGCCAGAUGUGAAAGCCCGGGGCUCAACCCCGGGACUGCAUUUGGAACUGUAUAGCUAGAGUGUCGGAGAGGCAGGCGGAAUUCCUAGUGUAGCGGUGAAAUGCGUAGAUAUUAGGGGGAACACCAGUGGCGAAGGCGGCCUGCUGGACGAUGACUGACGUUGAGGCUCGAAAGCGUGGGGAGCAAACAGG